rnacentral:rRNA from 1 species
UAGGGAAUCUUCCGCAAUGGACGAAAGUCUGACGGAGCAACGCCGCGUGAACGAUGAAGGCCUUCGGGUCGUAAAGUUCUGUUGUUAGGGAAGAACAAGUACCGGAGUAACUGCCGGUACCUUGACGGUACCUAACCAGAAAGCCACGGCUAACUACGUGCCAGCAGCCGCGGUAAUACGUAGGUGGCAAGCGUUGUCCGGAAUUAUUGGGCGUAAAGCGCGCGCAGGCGGUUCCUUAAGUCUGAUGUGAAAGCCCCCGGCUCAACCGGGGAGGGUCAUUGGAAACUGGGGAACUUGAGUACUGAAGAGGAAAGCGGAAUUCCACGUGUAGCGGUGAAAUGCGUAGAGAUGUGGAGGAACACCAGUGGCGAAGGCGGCUUUCUGGUCAGUAACUGACGCUGAGGCGCGAAAGCGUGGGGAGCAAACA